rnacentral:tRNA from 1 species
AAAAAAUUAGUUUAUUUAAAACGACUAAUUGCAAGUUAGUAAAUACCUUAAAAAUAUAUUAUCUU